rnacentral:rRNA from 1 species
GACAGAGGGUGCAAACGUUGUUCGGAAUUACUGGGCGUAAAGCGCGUGUAGGCGGCUAUGCAAGUCGGAUGUGAAAGCCCUCGGCUCAACCGGGGAAGUGCACCCGAAACUGCAAAGCUAGAGUCUCGGAGAGGAUCGUGGAAUUCUCGGUGUAGAGGUGAAAUUCGUAGAUAUUCGGAAGAACACCAGUGGCGAAGGCGACUCACUGGACAUGUAUUGACGCUGAGGUGCGAAAGCGUGGGGAGCAAACAGG